UAAAAGAAAAUAAAUCCACAUCUAGACACAUUGUAUUAAAACUGCAGAUCACCCAAGACAGAGACCUAAAAGCAGGGAAAGAAAAAAUGCAGAUCAUCCGCAAAGGAAUCCUGAUUAGACUGAUGGCAGAUUCUCAAUAGCAACAACAAAAGCCAGAAAAAAGGGGCUCAAUAUAAAAUGAUUUAUAUUAUUUUAUACAUGCAUAUUUUGUACUCACGGCUUGUUUUUGUACACGGUUUUUGAAAUGCGGUAUGUAUUUUAUCCUUACAGCACAUUUCAAGUGCUCAGUAGCUACAGGUGGAUAGUGGCUACUGUUUGGAUAUUUAAAAGGUAAAGG
rnacentral:lncRNA from 1 species